CCUGGCAGCCGUAGCGCGGUGGUCCCACCUGACCCCAUGCCGAACUCAGAAGUGAAACGCCGUAGCGCCGAUGGUAGUGUGGGGUCUCCCCAUGCGAGAGUAGGGAACUGCCAGGC
rnacentral:rRNA from 4 species